GGAUGACUGUGAGUUAACUGGAGAGGUGAUGAAGCUUGCCUGUCAAUUGACGGGUGAUCUACUUCUGACCUUGGGUGAUACAUUUAAAAAGCUGAACCUGAACUUAAACUUGGGUGCUGUGAAAGGUGUUGUUAAAGUAUUGGGCUGAAGAAGAGGAGUCUUCAACACAGAAUUAUUUUGUGAAAUCAGAUAAAAUAAUUUUAUGAUCUUUCGGUGUACACUGGUGUAUUUCUGUUACUCUAUGACUGGUGAUAUAUGAGUAUGUUACUAGUUUAAUCACUAUCU